UAUUUAAACAGGCACCGAUUCUUCUGUAAACCAAAGCCAUCCAGAGGAACAGAGAAUUUCAUCUGAGGUCAGUCAUCUGAGGACACAGGAAGUCAUGUGGAGGGUGGUCCUCACUGUCAGUGUCCUGUACUGGGCCUCUGAAGGCCAAAUCGUCUGCAGAGAUAAAAAAGGCAAUAAGGUGGACUGGUAUGUCUUAUACAAUGUGCCCAAACUGAACAACGCAGGCCUUAGUGGUUUCGAGUAUUUCUACAUUGAUUCUGCUAAAUCUGAAUGGCUUGACCCCAUCAAUGAUCGUGAAGGUGUCCUGGCAAACACCCUGCAGCCUCUCCUUACUCACCAAACUCCUGUGAGAAUAAUUUUAUGAUUGUGUUUUUUCUGUCUGUUUUUCAGAAAAGAUUCACAUUAACUGAUGAACAGAUAUGAUGGGCUGGUACUACUAAUGAGGAUCACACACACACACACACACACUACCAGUAACACAAAACAAAUUCUCUCUUAAAACACAUACACCCUGCCACUCUCUACCACACUCUCUCUUUCCCUGCAUCAACACUAUUUUUAGUUUAAUUAGGGGUCCAAUAGCAAAGCUGCUGGAACCAUAUUGUUUUUCUUAGGAUUAUUAUUAUUAUUAUUAUUAUUAUUAUUGCUUCUCUUUCACCUCAAAUAACCGUGAUUUGGUAUGAAUUGCUCAGAAUAACCUAACCAAACCUAGUAUGUUUGUUGGGAUGGCUGAACUCUUUGAUCCUUUAAAGUACAGAAUGGGAUUGAUUGAGCAACUGGUGUCACUGAAGGACGUGUGGAAAUAUUUUAGAUGUUCAGGAGUCUGGCCCCUGUACCCCAUUUGCCAUAAAAGUUGGUGAACAGGCCUCUCUUCUUGUGAGGAACAAAUUU